GGACAGAAAGACCCUAUGAAGCUUUACUGUAGUUUGGAAUUGGGUUCGGGCUCUUCUUGCGCAGCCUAGGUGGGAGGCUAUGAAGAUAAACUUUUGGGUUUAUUGGAGCCAACAGUGAGAGACCACUCUAGAGGAGCUAGAAUUCUAAUGGCGUUCCUUGAAGCAGGACGCUUGACAGUUUCAGAUGGGCAGUUUGACUGGGGCGGUCACCUCCUAAAAGGUAACGGAGGUGUGCAAAGGUUCCCUCAGGCUGGACGGAAAUCAGCCGUAGAGUGUAAAGGCAGAAGGGAGCUUGACUGCAAGACCUACAAGUCGAGCAGGGGCGAAAGCCGGCCUUAGUGAUCCGACGGUUCCGAGUAGAAGGGCCGUCGCUAAACGGAUAAAAGUUACUCUAGGGAUAACAGGCUGA
rnacentral:rRNA from 1 species